rnacentral:rRNA from 1 species
CAGUCGCCGCGGUAAAACGUAUGUCACAAGCGUUAUCCGGAUUUAUUGGGCGUAAAGCGCGCGCAGGCGGAUCAGUUAGUCUGUCUUAAAAGUUCGGGGCUUAACCCCGUGAUGGGAUGGAAACUGCUGAUCUAGAGUAUCGGAGAGGAAAGUGGAAUUCCUAGUGUAGCGGUGAAAUGCGUAGAUAUUAGGAAGAACACCAGUGGCGAAGGCGACUUUCUGGACGAAAACUGACGCUGAGGCGCGAAAGCCAGGGGAGCGAACGGGAUUAGAUACCCCAGUAGUCCCUGUCUCUUAUACC